GUCCUGCUGAAGAGUCCCAAACUAGGACGAAACAGCUAUCCAGUAC
rnacentral:hammerhead_ribozyme from 1 species